rnacentral:rRNA from 1 species
CGUCUAGGCGGCGGCCUAAGUCUCGCGUGAAAGCUCCCGGCUCAACUGGGAGAGGGCGCGGGAAACUGGGCAGCUAGAGACUCGGAGGGGGGGUGUGGAAUUCCCGGUGGAGUGGUGAUAUGCGUUGAGAUCGGGAGGAACACCAGUGGCGAAGGCGGCACCCUGGCCGAGGUCUGACGCUGAAGCGCGACAGCGUGGGGAGCAAACG